GCGAGCGGAUCCCCUUCGGGGGUGAAGCUCGUGGAACGAGCGGCGGACGGGUGAGUAACACGUGGGCAACCUACCUGUAAGAUCGGAAUAACCCCGGGAAACCGGGGCUAAUGCCGGGUAAUACUUUUCUUCGCAUGAAGGAAAGUUGAAAGAUGGCCUCUGGCUAUCACUUACAGAUGGGCCCGCGGCGCAUUAGCUAGUUGGUGAGGUAACGGCUCACCAAGGCGACGAUGCGUAGCCGACCUGAGAGGGUGAUCGGCCACACUGGGACUGAGACACGGCCCAGACUCCUACGGGAGGCAGCAGUAGGGAAUCUUCCGCAAUGGACGAAAGUCUGACGGAGCAACGCCGCGUGAACGAUGAAGGUCUUCGGAUCGUAAAGUUCUGUUGUUAGGGAAGAACAAGUGCCGUGCGAAUAGAACGGCACCUUGACGGUACCUAACGAGGAAGCCCCGGCUAACUACGUGCCAGCAGCCGCGGUAAUACGUAGGGGGCAAGCGUUGUCCGGAAUUAUUGGGCGUAAAGCGCGCGCAGGCGGUUCCUUAAGUCUGAUGUGAAAGCCCACGGCUCAACCGUGGAGGGUCAUUGGAAACUGGGGAACUUGAGGACAGAAGAGGAGA
rnacentral:rRNA from 1 species